rnacentral:rRNA from 1 species
AGAGACGAGUCAGAGUUUGAUCCUGGCUCAGGACGAACGCUGGCGGCGUGCUUAACACAUGCAAGUCGAACGAGAAUCAAUGGAAAGAGACUUCGGUCAAUUGAAGUUGAGGACAGUGGCGACGGGUGAGUAACGCGUGAGGAACCUGCCUUUCAGAGGGGGACAACAGUUGGAAACGACUGCUAAUACCGCAUAACGCAUAGGAGUCGCAUGGCUCUUAUGCCAAAGAUUUAUCGCUGAAAGAUGGCCUCGCGUCUGAUUAGCUAGUUGGUGAGGUAACGGCCCACCAAGGCGACGAUCAGUAGCCGGACUGAGAGGUUGAACGGCCACAUUGGGACUGAGAUACGGCCCAG